GAUGAACGCUGGCGGCGUGCCUAAUACAUGCAAGUCGAGCGAACGGACGAGAAGCUUGCUUCUCUGAUGUUAGCGGCGGACGGGGGAGUAACACGUGGAUAACCUACCUAUAAGACUGGGAUAACUUCGGGAAACCGGAGCUAAUACCGGAUAAUAUUUUGAACCGCAUGGUUCAAAAGUGAAAGACGGUCUUGCUGUCACUUAUAGAUGGAUCCGCGCUGCAUUAGCUAGUUGGUAAGGUAACGGCUUACCAAGGCAACGAUGCAUAGCCGACCUGAGAGGGUGAUCGGCCACACUGGAACUGAGACACGGUCCAGACUCCUACGGGAGGCAGCAGUAGGGAAUCUUCCGCAAUGGGCGAAAGCCUGACGGAGCAACGCCGCGUGAGUGAUGAAGGUCUUCGGAUCGUAAAACUCUGUUAUUAGGGAAGAACAUAUGUGUAAGUAACUGUGCACAUCUUGACGGUACCUAACCAGAAAGCCACGGCUAACUACGUG
rnacentral:rRNA from 1 species